AUUGAACGCUGGCGGCAUGCCUUACACAUGCAAGUCGAACGGCAGCACGGGUGCUUGCACCUGGUGGCGAGUGGCGAACGGGUGAGUAAUACAUCGGAACAUGUCCUGUAGUGGGGGAUAGCCCGGCGAAAGCCGGAUUAAUACCGCAUACGGUCUACGGAUGAAAGCGGGGGACCUUCGGGCCUCGCGCUAUAGGGUUGGCCGAUGGCUGAUUAGCUAGUUGGUGGGGUAAAGGCCUACCAAGGCGACGAUCAGUAGCUGGUCUGAGAGGACGACCAGCCACACUGGGACUGAGACACGGCCCAGACUCCUACGGGAGGCAGCAGUGGGGAAUUUUGGACAAUGGGCGAAAGCCUGAUCCAGCAAUGCCGCGUGUGUGAAGAAGGCCUUCGGGUUGUAAAGCACUUUUGCCCGGAAAGAAAUCCUUGGCCCUAAUACGGUCGGGGGAUGACGGUACCGGAAGAAUAAGCACCGGCUAACUACGUG
rnacentral:rRNA from 1 species